rnacentral:rRNA from 1 species
UACGGAGGGGGCAAGCGUUGUCCGGAGUUACUGGGCGUAAAGCGCACGCAGGCGGUCGAUUAAGUUUGGAGUGACAGUUGGUGGCUUAACUGCCAAAGUGCUUCGAAAACUGAUCGACUUGAGGGCUUCAGAGGGACACGGAAUUCCGGGUGGAGUGGUGAAAUGCGUAGAGAUCCGGAGGAACACCGAAGGCGAAGGCAGUGUCCUGGGGAGUACCUGACGCUCAGGUGCGAAAGCCAGGGGAGCGAACGGG